rnacentral:misc_RNA from 1 species
UCCGACUGUUAAAACAAAAUUCUGAGUGAGAGAACCGGACCUAAUAAAAAUUUUUACUGUAAUAAGAAUUUUAUGCGUUAGAGCGAGUAAGUGGAAAUGAAGCAAAAUUUGACAGCUUUGAUCACAGAGGCUGUGACUUUAGCAAAAGUUUGACAUCUUUGAUCACAGUAGGCUGUAAAUAAAAGCGUUAAUUUUGCAAAAACAUUUGAAGAUUGCCGAAACAUUGCGAUUUAAUCAUAUAAUUAAGUCAGGCUCCACACCAGCAUAUCCACCACCUUCAACGCCGCCACCAAUAAACAGCGCUGCAUACAUUAUUCGGUAAGUUUUCAUGCGACGAAUAAACGUUGCUUCUGCUGCAACUGCCUACAUUAAUCAUGUUCCUGGUGCUUCCCGAUUUGCACAUUUCAAAAGAAAAGCUGUUUUUGCAAUUAAUAAACCUUAUGGCGUACAGAAACAGCUUCCUCUAAAAACCUGCGAAGCGUGAAGUACCUGGAACAGGCUUAUUUAGUGCGUUCCAGAACGUCUACGAUUUGCAGGUUUUGCAGGAUUUAGUCCAAAGUCGUUCCCGUACGCCACGUUCACAUAAGGCUUAUUAAAGGCAAAAACAGCUGUUCCGGAAAACCUGCAAAUCCUGCAAAUCGUGAAGUACGGGAACAGGCUAAUUAUGUGCAAAUGUAAACAACAAAAGAAAGUGCAGUGUUUACAUAUGUAAAAAGUGUAGUAGGACUGGUGAAUGCGGUCAUUCUGGAAGCCAUAGUUUACAAAGUGUAGUGCACAGUUCAACAACAGUGAUUGGGUUUGCUACUUCAUAGCAGCAGUGGAAAUGGAAACAUUGCUCUGCUAUUGCUACUUCUCUACUUGAAUAGAUAAGAAGCACGGCCAGAAUCGGAAAACACACGAGGACCUUCCUUGUUUUACUUGGUUCUAUGUUUCGUUGAGGCACAGAUCAGGUAGGAGAACUAAAAUAUGAACGAAGUGAUAUUUGUAGUCAGAGUAAUAGCACAUACAACAAUAUUAUGAUAGCCUCAACGAAACAUAGCACUAAUUAAAACAAGAAAGGCCUUCUUGUGUUUCCCGAUUCUGACACUGCUUCUCAUCUAUUCAAGUAGAGAAGUUGCAAUAGCAGAUCCACGUUUCCGUGCCACUGCUGCUAUGAAGUAGUGAACUCAACCACUGGUAGUUGUCAUAAUUCGCAGUAGUAACAGUUUAACAUGAAGCAAUGGAUUUGUCACCACUGUUCCUGGGAGAUACCGAAGCGCUCUCUCCACCACGCACGAGCAACACAGAUGUAGCCCUACAUAGAAAGCGCUUUCAUGUGGCACUGCCUUACGAGGAGCGCUUUGUCUCCCAGCCAACAGUAACCACCAACACGGGUGUAGCCACUACAACAACAACAAGCAACACAGGUCAACAAUUUACCUUGUCUCACCUGCUGGAGAGGCAAAAAGAAAUGUUUGAUGGCGUCAUGGCCGCCAUUGGAAGGGUUGAGUCAAAGGUGGACGGAAUAGCAAAUGCUCUGGCCGAAAAGAUGCCCGAACGCGCGGAAGUUCAAGCUCAAGGGCAGCUACUGCGAGAGUGCAAAGUGGUGACCUAGAAAGUUCACCAAAGUAUUUCCCGAAUCACUGGAGAUGCUAUUAGUAAAGAGCAUACUUUGCUUCAAAGUAUGCUUCCACUAUCAUCCCAGGAAAAGUUAAAUACUUUGGAGAAUCUUUUGGGAAACAAACCACACUCCGAUGCGAUGCUGAACAUAAUUUUAAAAUUGAAGGGUGCUAAGGGUUGUGUGAAACACGUGUUGAGAAGCAUUUUUGCCGACACUCUACUCAUUUCAUACAAUUAUGAGGGCAAAGCCAACAAAGCUCCACUUCUGGGGCUAAAAACAAUAGAAUUAGUUUUCGAUGCGUUUGUGAGUAUGCCCAAAAUUGACCUCAUUGCGGAAAUCAGAAAGCACGUGUUCCUAAGCCACAAUAGGUACAAACAAAUUGUAAUAAAAAAAAAAAU